rnacentral:rRNA from 1 species
UACGAAGGGGCUAGCGUUGCUCGGAAUUACUGGGCGUAAAGGGCGCGUAGGCGGACAGUUUAGUCAGAGGUGAAAGCCCAGGGCUCAACCUUGGAAUUGCCUUUGAUACUGGCUGUCUUGAGUUCGGGAGAGGUGAGUGGAAUGCCGAGUGUAGAGGUGAAAUUCGUAGAUAUUCGGCGGAACACCAGUGGCGAAGGCGACACACUGGCCCGUUACUGACGCUGAGGCGCGAAAGCGUGGGGAGCAAACAGG